GGAAGAUAAAAUAGGAAAAAUUGAGGAUAAAAUGCAAGCCCAAUUAGAAGAUCUAAAAAGUUUCUUACAGGAUCAAUUGACAAACAACCACUCUACCAGAAAUAGACCUGUUUCUGAACCUUUGAAUGAGGAAAUUUCCUUCCCUGAAAUAGAGAUGGAAAAUACCUUUCCUAUAGCCAAGUUAACAGACUGCUUCUCUCGUGUAGUGCAAAUCUUGUCUGAAUUUAAUCCCCAAAACCCUUCCCCGGCAAUCCCAGAUUCUCAUGUUCCUUCUCCUACAGAAAACCAAAUUCCAAUGCAAGAGAGAUCUUGUCCCCCUAGAAAAACCUGUCCUUGUCAAACUGACCCACAGGUGCAAAAUCCAACUAGAGGCCUGUUUCCUCUAAGAGAAGUACCUGAAAUAGGACGAAAUGGGGAUGUGGUGACUUUAAGACAUAGGAUACCGUUUACUCCCCAAGAAAUAAAUGAAUUUACACGAAAUAUUCCCACAUAUGAACAAGAUCCUUUUCUAGUAACAAAAAAGAUGGGAGACAUAUUUUUUCAAUAUAAUCCGUCUUACAAGGACGUUGAGAGCUUACUACAGGCUUUUUUAAGUGAACGUGAAAAAAAUAAAAUAAUUGCUCAUGUCAACAAAACCCGGGGGCGUAAUGCAGCACAUUGGCCAUCUCAGGAUCCCGAAUGGGACUAUAAUAAUCCUGAGGACUAUCUACAACUAUACCGUUGUAGAGAGGCUAUCCUCACGGCCAUGAAGGAAUGUGCGGACAGUACAGAUAAGUGGAUGGAACUGGAAAAAAUUAAGCAAAAGGAAAACGAAACACCCUCCAGAUUUAUGGACAGAAUUAUCGAGUUUGGGGACAGAUACUUAGAUUGGGACUUAACUAAAGAGAGUAGUAUAAGACAAGUUAGAAGAAUCUUUGUAAACAAUUCUUGCAAAGCAAUUAAAAAUUAUUUCAAAACACAAUGCCCAAGAUGGUCAGAUAUGGACCUUGAAGAAUUGCGAAAAACAGCUAUAUAUGUUUUAAAGGGAAACGAAGAAAAGGAGAAAGAAAAUGAUGAUGACAUGGAGGAAAUGAAGAAAAAAAUGAGAUAUUUAAUAGAUAGGAUAACUAAAUUAGAAAGUGGGC
rnacentral:lncRNA from 1 species